CGGCACGUAGCGCAGCCCCGGUAGCGCACCGUCAUGGGGUGUCGGGGGUCGGAGGUUCAAAUCCUCUCGUGCCGACCA
rnacentral:tRNA from 1 species